rnacentral:rRNA from 1 species
GACGAACGCUGGCGGCGUGCCUAAUACAUGCAAGUCGAGCGGAUGGAAGGAAGCUUGCUUCCUAAAGUCAGCGGCGGACGGGUGAGUAACACGUGGGCAACCUGCCCCCUACUCUGGAAUAAGCCUGGGAAACUGGGUCUAAUACCGGAUAUGACUUCAUGCUGCAUGGUGUGGGGUGGAAAGUUUUUCGGUGGGGGAUGGGCCCGCGGCCUAUCAGCUUGUUGGUGGGGUGAUGGCCUACCAAGGCGACGACGGGUAGCCGGCCUGAGAGGGCGACCGGCCACACUGGGACUGAGACACGGCCCAGACUCCUACGGGAGGCAGCAGUGGGGAAUAUUGCGCAAUGGGCGGAAGCCUGACGCAGCGACGCCGCGUGGGGGAUGACGGCCUUCGGGUUGUAAACCUCUUUCGGCCCCGACGAAGCGGAAGUGACGGUAGGGGUAGAAGAAGCACCGGCCAACUACGUGCCAGCAGCCGCGGUAAGAC